GAUGAACGCUGACAGAAUGCUUAACACAUGCAAGUCUUUGGCGAAGCUGUGCUUGCACAGCCUAGCCAAGGCGGACGGGUGAGUAACGCGUAAGGAACUUGCCCUGCAGUCAGGGAUAACAGACGGAAACGACUGAUAAGACCUGGUAAAGUCAGGCGGACUCAUGUCCAGCCUGAUGAAAAGAGAUGCUGCAGGAGAGCCUUGCGUCCUAUUAGCUUGUUGGUGGGGUAACGGCCCACCAAGGCGAUGAUAGGUAGCCGGCCUGAGAGGGUGGACGGCCAAAAGGGGACUGAGAUACGGCCGUUACUCCUACGGGAGGAAGCAGGGGGGAAUAUUGGACAAUGGGGGCAACCCUGAUCAAGCAAUUCUGUGUGCACGAUGAAGGUUUUCGGAUUGUAAAGUGCUUUCAGCAGGGAAGAAAAAAAUGACGGUACCUGCAGAAGAAGCGACGGCUAAAUACGUG
rnacentral:rRNA from 1 species